GCGGCCCGUACCCUAAACCGACUCAGGUGGUCAGGUAGAGAAUACCGAGGCGUUCGGGUGAACUAUGGUUAAGGAACUCGGCAAAAUGCCCCCGUAACUUCGGGAGAAGGGGGGCCACGUCUGGUGAUCCGUUUUACACGGUGAGCUGGGGGUGGCCGCAGAGACCAGCGAGAAGCGACUGUUUACUAAAAACACAGGUCCGUGCGAAGCCGUAAGGCGAUGUAUACGGACUGACGCCUGCCCGGUGCUGGAACGUUAAGGGGACCGG
rnacentral:rRNA from 1 species